CCUACGGGAGGCAGCAGUGAGGAAUAUUGGUCAAUGGACGAGAGUCUGAACCAGCCAAGUAGCGUGAAGGAUGACUGCCCUAUGGGUUUUAAACUUCUUUUAUAUGGGAAUAAAAUGUUCCACGUGUGGGAUUUUGUAUGUACCAUAUGAAUAAGGAUCGGCUAACUCCGUGCCAGCAGCCGCGGUACUACGGUGGAUCCGAGCGUUAUCCGGAUUUAUUGGGUUUAAAGGGAGCGUAGGUGGAUUGUUAAGUCAGUUGUGAAAGUUUGCGGCUCAACCGUGAAAUUGCAGUUGAAACUGGCAGGCUUGAGUACAGGAGAGGUGGGCGGAAUUCGGGGUGUAGCGGUGAAAUGCUUAGAUAUCACGAAGAACUCCGAUUGCGAAGGCAGCUCACUGGACUGCAACUGACACUGAGGCUCGAAAGUGUGGGUAUCAAACAGGAUUAGAUACCCCUGUAGUC
rnacentral:rRNA from 1 species